rnacentral:lncRNA from 1 species
GGAAGUGGUGCCAGGAAUAGCCCGGCAGAUCCGCCUGCAGCCCGGAGCGCUCCCUCCCGCCUCGGCCAGGGCGGGCUGCGGCUCCCGGGCCUCCGCCUCUCUCUCCCCCGUGCAACACCAGCCCCUCCGGCACUGUCAGGGUGACGGUGAUGAUCCUUUCCAAAAAGAGGGAGAGAAAUGACCUGCCUUAAGAUAAAUGCGUGAAGCGGGCGCCCCUUGGCCGCUGGAAUAUCUCUAUCUGUCUUUAUAUAUAAAGAAGCACCGCGAGCCACCUCACUCCAGGCAAGCCCUUAGCAAAGGAGCAACAAGAGCGCCCGGCGGGAUCAGCAACAACAACAACAACAAGGGCACCGGGAGGGCUUCCCUCCUUCCUCCUCGGUGACUUCCCAGUUCUGUCCUAAUAUGCUUACGGAGUCUGAAAAAUGCAACUCUAAUAUACAAGAAAUAUCAGCCUGCACACAAAAAAUUGUAAAGAAUAUCUCUGUUCUUAAAAAUAUCACCCUCUGCAUGGCAGGAAAGAGAAAGACACGUGGGAUAAUGGAGUUCCUUUACGCACACCUCUCCAAAGCUUCAGUGCAGCAUAUUUUCCACAAAUGGAGUGACUAUGAGAGAAACCUUUUAAUUUUCUUUCUCUUUUUCUCUCACAGCCUUAGUAAUUAAAGAAGAAAGCAAGGAUGCUAAAUACGCAUUUUUGGAUGUAUGCUGACUGAGAAUGAGGCCUAGAGGGGAAGAUAAAUAAGAUGGGGAGGGGAGGUUUGAAUGUGACUGACAGUGGAUUUUAAUUGCCUACAAGAAGUUAUUUUUAUCAGACCAAGUCUCCCUCUAACAUUAAGUCCUCAACCUAAAGAAUUUUAGUACUCCAGCCUUUAAAAUCCCUGUCUGGUCGCAAGUUGUACAAGCGUGUCUUGAUGAGUAGCUAAGAUCUGAUAGAAGGCACCGUCUCAGAUACAGUGGUAGCAUCCUCUAACUUCCAUUGUUUGACACCUCCACAGAUAAUUUACACACAGAAUACAAUGCCUUCAUACCUUGCUCAAUGCUUGCAGGUAUUUCUCUUUACAAUUGCUUAUGCACUGUUUUGAUUUAAUUUAGUUGCAGUAUCAUUUGAUUCUGGUCACUAGUUCAACCCAGUUAACUAGCAAGCAGGGGCAUAAAUGAAACCAAUUUUGACUAACUCUUUCUCAGUCAAGUGGGUUGUCUGGCAAGCCAAGAGUGUAAUAAAUAGAUUUUGUGGCUAUUUACAGACUCACACACUAGAAAACCAAGUGCUAUGCUUCCCAGUUUCAUUACAUAAUUCAGACAGUGUCACAUCCAGAUGAUGGGAUUACACCUGUGUUUUUAUCUCAGCCAAAAAUGCAUUUUUUUGGCUCCUGCUUUGAUGUUCUCCCAUAAAAAUAAACAGAUUACACCAGAAAAUUGAGGGGUUUUACCAUAUUGCGUGAAAAAUAUUUAAGCAUGCGUGUAUAGGUAUAUACAUAUACACUUAUGUACAUUUAUGUGAUCAUAGCUUUUACCUCCAGUCAUGUUCUGUCUCCUUCACAGUACAGUAUACCUGGACUGACUUCAUGAGAGCUUGUGGUUGCAGGUCUGGCUUGUUUGUCACUGAGAGGAAGAUUUGUCCUAGAUUCAGUGUAGGUUCAACUGCUG